UUUUCACCUUUUGUUUAAUGAAAAAAGAACUAUCAACAUAGUAUAAGCUUGAAGAUAGACGAUAAGGCUGGAGAAGGUAGGCCAAGAUCAAAGAAAUGUUAUCGAACACAAGUUUUGAAGCUGCCCCUUUGUUGGGGCGUAGCAACAGUACUGUAGAAGAAGGUGAAAAGAGGAGGCUGCGGUGGAAGAAGGUGUUAGAUGUAGAAGAGGCCAAGAACCAAAUCUUGUUUUCACUGCCCAUGAUUCUUACUAAUGUUUUCUACUACUUGAUAACUUUGGUCUCUGUCAUGUUCGCUGGUCAUCUCGGAGAACUUGAGCUUGCUGGAGCCACCCUGGCUAACUCAUGGGCUACGGUCACUGGUUUUGCCUUCAUGGUAGGUUUGAGUGGAGCACUUGAAACACUAUGUGGUCAAGGAUUUGGUGCAAAGAUGUACAGAAUGCUAGGAAUUUAUCUUCAAGCAUCCUGCAUUAUAUCAUUCAUCUUCUGUAUUACCAUAUCGGUUAUAUGGUUCUAUACAGAGCCAAUUCUGUUAUUACUCCAUCAAGAUGCUCACGUUUCUAUGACUGCUGCUCUCUACAUGAAGUAUCUCAUUCCUGGAUUGUUCGCAUAUGGCAUUAUGCAGAACAUCCUAAGGUUUCUUCAGACACAAUCUGUAGUAAUGCCCCCUGUGAUAUUCUCAUUAGUACCACUGUGCAUUCAUUUCGGCAUUGCUUAUGCAUUGGUUCACUAUACAGCUCUUGGGUUCAAGGGAGCUCCACUGGCAGCAUCAAUUUCACUAUGGAUAUCGGUCCUAAUGUUAGCAGUUUAUGUGAUUUGUGCAAAGAAAUUUGAGCAUACAUGGGGUGGGUUUUCAUUUGAGUCAUUUCAUUACAUUCUUCAUGACUUGAAACUAGCCCUGCCUUCUGCUGCAAUGGUAUGCUUAGAGUAUUGGGCCUUUGAGAUUCUGGUGUUCCUAGCAGGACUGAUGCCGAGCUCAGAAAUAAGCACCUCGUUGAUCGCAAUAUGUGUAAACACAGAAACUGUGGCCUACAUGUUAACCUAUGGUCUCAGUGCCGCUGCAAGCACAAGGGUGUCAAAUGAAUUAGGAGAGGGCAAUCCAGAUAGAGCUAAGAAUGCUAUGGCUGUGACUCUCAAGCUCUCUGUCCUUCUUGCUCUUCUUGUUGUUCUGGCUCUAGCAUUUGGUCACAACAUCUGGGCUGGAUUUUUCAGUAGCAGCCCUACAAUAGCCAAGGAAUUUGCAUCAAUGGCUCCCUUUCUUGCAAUCUCGAUUACUCUUGAUUCUGUGCAAGGUGUCUUGUCAGGGGUGGCCAGAGGUUGUGGCUGGCAGCACUUGGCUGUUUAUGCGAACUUGGCAACAUUCUACUGUAUUGGCAUGCCUGUAGCUUGUGCUCUUGGAUUCAAGUUAAAGCUAUAUGUUAAGGGUUUAUGGAUUGGCUUAAUCAGUGGCCUUUGUUGCCAAGCCGGUACCCUCUUGUUAAUCACAAUAAGGACCAGUUGGACUACAACAGAUCUGUCUAUAACCAAAGAGAGAGAGAACCCCAUUGUUGUCUAACGGUAUGUUCUCCAUUAAUUGUCGACAGACAGUUUAGCUGAACUGCAAGUUACUAGCAAGUAGCAAAAAGCUGGAGAGAGCAUUUGAACUUCAGUUGCAUGCAUGCACGACGUUAAGCUCAGACGUUUGUGUACUUGAUUGGGAUUUGUUUCAACUAAAUUGCUCCCUCAAAUUCUGUCAUGGUUGUCAUUCAGAUUAAAACAAGUCGGCAAAAACCUACAAUCAA